GGACCAAGGAGUCUAGCAUGUGCGCGAGUCAUUGGGACUCUAACGAAACCUAAAGGCGCAAUGAAAGUGAAGGCCCGCCUAGCGCGGGCCGAGGGAGGAUGGGCUUUCCCCAGGGAUCGCCCCGCACUCCCAGGGCGUCUCGUUCUCAUUGCGAGAAGAGGCGCACCAAGAGCGUACACGCUGGGACCCGAAAGAUGGUGAACUAUGCCUGGUCAGGACGAAGUCAGGGGAAACCCUGAUGGAGGUCCGUAGCGAUUCUGACGUGCAAAUCGAUCGUCGGAACUGGGUAUAGGGGCGAAAGACUAAUCGAACCAUCUAGUAGCUGGUUCCCUCCGAAGUUUCCCUCAGGAUAGCUGGCGCUCGCUUCUCGCGAGUCUCAUUCGGUAAAGCGAAUGAUUAGAGGCAUUGGGGUCGAAACGGCCUCAACCUAUUCUCAAACUUUAAAUGGGUGAGAUCUCCGGCUUGCUUGAACUGUGAAGCCGCGAGAUAUCGGAUCAGAGUGCCAAGUGGGCCACUUUUGGUAAGCAGAACUGGCGCUGUGGGAUGAACCAAACGCCGAGUUAAAGCGCCUAAAUCGACGCUUAUGGGAUACCAUGAAAGGCGUUGGUAACUUAAGACAGCAGGACGGUGGCCAUGGAAGUCGGA
rnacentral:rRNA from 1 species